CCCUACGGGGGGCUGCAGUCGGGAAUUUUGGGCAAUGGGCGAAAGCCUGACCCAGCAACGCCGCGUGAAGGAUGAAGUAUUUCGGUAUGUAAACUUCGAAAGAAUGGGAAGAAUCAAUGACGGUACCAUUUAUAAGGUCCGGCUAACUACGUGCCAGCAGCCGCGGUAAUACGUAGGGACCAAGCGUUGUUCGGAUUUACUGGGCGUAAAGGGCGCGUAGGCGGCAAUUCAAGUCAGCCGUGAAAUCUCUGGGCUUAACUCGGAACGGUCAGCUGAUACUGUUUUGCUAGAGUGUAGAAGGGGCAAUCGGAAUUCUUGGUGUAGCGGUGAAAUGCGUAGAUAUCAAGAGGAACACCAGAGGUGAAGACGGGUUGCUGGGCUGACACUGACGCUGAGGCGCGAAAGCUAGGGUAGCAAACGGGAUUAGAUACCCCGGUAGUC
rnacentral:rRNA from 1 species